AACGAACGCUGGCGGCAGGCCUAAAACAUGCAAGUCGAACGGGUGUAGCAAUACAUCAGUGGCGCACGGGUGAGUAACGCGUGGGAACGUGCCCUUCAGUACGGGACAACGUCGGGAAACUGACGCUAAUACCGUAUAAUGACUCCGGUCCAAAGAUUUAUCGCUGAAGGAGCGGCCCGCGUCUGAUUAGCUAGUUGGUGAGGUAGUGGCUCACCAAGGCUACGAUCAGUAGCAGGUCUGAGAGGAUGAUCUGCCACACUGGGACUGAGACACGGUCCAGACUCCUACGGGAGGCAGCAGUGGGGAAGUAUUGCACAAUAGGAGGAAACGUACUGAUGCAGCAACGACCG
rnacentral:rRNA from 1 species